AGAGUUUGAUCAUGGCUCAGAACGAACGCUGGCGGCGUGCUUAACACAUGCAAGUCGAGUGCGCGUGCCGUAGCAAUACGGCAUGGCGCACGGCGCACGGGUGCGUAACACGUGGGCAAUCUGCCCUCCGGUGGGGAAUAACCCCGCGAAAGCGGGGCUAAUUCCGCAUAACAUUCCCUGGACUCCGGUUCGGGGAUUCAAAGCAGUGAUGCGCCGGAGGAGGAGCCCGCGCCCGAUUAGCUAGUUGGUGAGGUAACGGCUCACCAAGGCAAUGAUCGGUAGCUGGUCUGAGAGGAUGGCCAGCCACACUGGAACUGAGACACGGUCCAGACUCCUACGGGAGGCAGCAGUGGGGAAUCUUGCGCAAUGGGCGAAAGCCUGACGCAGCGACGCCGCGUGGGGGAUGAAGCUUUUCGGAGUGUAAACCCCUUUCGACUGGGACGAAUGCCCGCAAGGGAGUGACGGUACCGGUAGAAGAAGCCCCGGCUAACUACGUGCCAGCAGCCGCGGUAAGACGUAGGGGGCCAGCGUUGUUCGGAAUUACUGGGUGUAAAGGGUUCGUAGGCGGUGUGGCAAGUCGGGAGUGAAAUUUCUGGGCUUAACCCAGAAGCUGCUUCCGAAACUGCUGUGCUAGAGUGCGGGAGAGGCGCGUGGAAUUGCAGGUGUAGCGGUGAAAUGCGUAGAUAUCUGCAGGAACACCCGUGGCGAAAGCGGCGCGCUGGACCGUUACUGACGCUGAGGAACGAAAGCUAGGGGAGCAAACAGGAUUAGAUACCCUAGUAGUCC
rnacentral:rRNA from 1 species